UACGGAGGGUGCGAGCGUUGUCCGGAAUCACUGGGCGUAAAGGGUGCGUAGGCGGCGGGGCAAGUCUGAUGUGAAAUCCCGGGGCUCAACCCCGGAACUGCAUUGGAUACUGCCUUGCUUGAGUACUGGAGAGGAGACUGGAAUUUACGGUGUAGCAGUGAAAUGCGUAGAUAUCGUAAGGAAGGCCAGUGGCGAAGGCAGCUCGCUGGGACGGUACUGACGCUGAGACGCGAAAGCGUGGGGAGCAAACGGGG
rnacentral:rRNA from 1 species